rnacentral:rRNA from 1 species
CCUACGGGAGGCAGCAGUGAGGAAUAUUGGUCAAUGGGCGAGAGUCUGAACCAGCCAAGUAGCGUGAAGGAUGACUGCCCUAUGGGUUGUAAACUUCUUUUAUAUGGGAAUAAAAUGUUCCACGUGUGGGAUUUUGUAUGUACCAUAUGAAUAAGGAUCGGCUAACUCCGUGCCAGCAGCCGAGGUAAUACGGAGGAUCCGAGCGUUAUCCGGAUUUAUUGGGUUUAAAGGGAGCGUAGGUGGAUUGUUAAGUCAGUUGUGAAAGUUUGCGGCUCAACCGUAAAAUUGCAGUUGAAACUGGCAGUCUUGAGUACAGUAGAGGUGGGCGGAAUUCGUGGUGUAGCGGUGAAAUGCUUAGAUAUCACGAAGAACUCCGAUUGCGAAGGCAGUUCACUGGACUGCAACUGACACUGAGGCUCGAAAGUGUGGGUAUCAAACAGGAUUAGAUACCCCUGUGGUC